CUGAGAAAGUUCAGAGCCUGGAGAGAAGGCUGGGAGGCAGGAGCUGGGUCUAAAGAGGCCAUUGUAACGAUGGAGCUGUGCCUGUGGAGGCUGUUGUGAGGCAGUAGGCUCAUCUGCGGAGGCUGCCGUGACGUAGGGUAUGGGCCUAAAUAGGCCAUUGUGAGUCAUGAGCUUGGUCUGUAGAGGCUGACUGGAGAAAGUUCUCGGCCUGGAGAGGCUGCCGGGAGGUAGGAGCAUAAUGUAGAAUCAGUGGGCGUGUUAAGCUUGUUUUCCUGCAACUGGAUGUUCCCACGUUUUGCUGUCACCCCUCUGGAAUCCACGUAUACGAAAAUUCCAAAUAUUAGUUGGGCAUAGUGGCAAGCACCUGUAGUCUCAGCCACGUGGGAGGUUGAGGUGGGAGGAUCGCUUCAGCCUGGAAGGUUGAGGCUGCAGUCAGCUGCGAUAGCACUACUACACUCCAGCCUUGGACAACAGAGGGAGACCCAUAAUGUAGAAUCAGUGGGCGUGUUAAGCUUGUUUUCCUGCAACUGGAUGUUCCCACCUGAGCGUGAUGGGAGAAAGUGACAGAUCAAUAGGUAUUAGACUCUCAUAAGGACAGCGCAACCUAGAUCCCUCACAUGCACGGUUCACAACAGGGUGCGUUCUCCUAUGAGAAUCUAACGCUGCUGCUCAUCUGAGAAGGUGGAGCUCAGGUGGGAAUGUGAGCAAAGGGGAGUGGCUGUAAAUACAGACGAAGCUUCCCUCACUCCCUCACUCGACA
rnacentral:lncRNA from 1 species